GUGGGCGGCUAACAUGCAGUCGAACGGGGUAAUAAGCGGAAGUUUACGGAUGGAAGGUUAUAUACUUAGUGGCGCACGUGUGAGUAACGCGUGGGCAACCUGCCCCGUGCCGGGGGACACCGCCUGGAAACAGGCGCUAAUACCGCAUAAGCGCAUACAGCCGCAUGGGUGUAUGCGGAAAGCUCCGGCGGCUCGGGAUGGGCCCGCGCCCGAUUAGCCAGUUGGCGGGGUAACGGCCCACCAAAGCGACGAUCGGUAGCCGGCCUGAGAGGGCGGACGGCCACAUUGGGACUGAGAUACGGCCCAGACUCCUACGGGAGGCAGCAGUGGGGAAUAUUGGGCAAUGGACGCAAGUCUGACCCAGCAACGCCGCGUGAAGGAAGAAGGCUUUCGGGUUGUAAACUUCUUUUAAGGGGGAAGAGCAUAAGACGGUACCCCUUGAAUAAGCCACAGCUAACUACGUGCCAGCAGCCGCGGUAAUACGUAGGUGGCAAGCGUUGUCCGGAUUUACUGGGUGUAAAGGGCGUGCAGCCGGAGAGACAAGUCAGAUGUGAAAUCCACGGGCUCAACCCGUGAACUGCAUUUGAAACUGUUUCCCUUGAGUGUCGGAGAGGUAAUCGGAAUUCCUUGUGUAGCGGUGAAAUGCGUAGAUAUAAGGAGGAACACCAGUGGCGAAGGUGGAUUACUGGACGAUAACUGACGGUGAGGCGCGAAAGCGUGGGGAGCCUACAGGAUUAAAUACCCUGCUACUCCACGCUGUAAACGAUCGAUACUACGUGUGCGGGAAUUGACCCCCCUGCGUGCCCGAAUUAAACCCAUAAGUAUUCCCCCUGCGUAACUAACAACGUCA
rnacentral:rRNA from 1 species